AGACAGACUGUGAAAAAGGAGUUUUUUUGGUGAUUACUAAAGAGAAACCGGUCUUCUCUCCCUUUAGUCAAAUGACAAAGAGCUGGGGCAGUUGGAUAAAAGCCUUUUAACAACCUGAACGAGAGGAACAGGGAAACCUGCUCCUUUAGCUGUGGCAAAGAUGUGGCAGGUCACAUCUCAGGCCUUUGCUGGUAGCCGCAUGUGGGGGGUGGCCACGUACUUUGAAUCAUUAGCACGUCAAUUAUACUAUCACGCUGGCUACUCCUAGUUCACUGCACAGAGGGAUGUUCUCCUUUCACUCUACCCUUUUUUUCAUCACUCAGCUCCAGUUGUACCUUCUUUGAGAAGCUUCUACAAACAGCCCAGUUGGAAGUGGUCUGUCCCCACUCUUAAUCCUCUUGUUUCUCACCGUUACGCUCUUAGUUUUCUAUUGUUACAUGGGAGUUGUCCACGAGGAUACAUGCAUAAGUAUGAGAAUAUAUACCCCUUCCUCAGCAAUUAGCACAGACAAUUGAAUCAAGCAGUACAAAGGUUUUCAGUUUUAGGUUUACCUGAUUACCCUUUACUAUACUCAAAUGUAUCCCAAUACUUCUGCACUCCUAAAUCAACUGACAACCUUUAAGCAUAUGCUCUUUUGCUAGGUCUUGAAGAGGAGGCACAACUGCCUUCAUAUGAGUCCAGUGUGUGUUGUCAAAAUGUAACUUUUGAAUUGUUCUAAAGCCACAGUAAGAGAAUUACAUUUAUGGACAAUCUUCAAUUAUGUUCAGUGGCAAGGAGCAGAGAACCCACAGGCAAUUGAAAUCUCUACUAAUAAUUUUGGCUAACAAGGCAUUGUGCUUACGGUUUCCAGAGUGCUCUUCACAUACAUUAUCUGCAGCUACAGAUAAUUUGAAAUUCUCAAUCUGCCUGAGUUGCAAUUCCCUCUCCAUUAAACCUUUUGUCAGAGCUAUCAACAAAGAGUAAAGUGGAUCAUUUAUGUUUCCUCUCUAUUCUCCAGUCACAUUUUGCAGUAGAAAUGUGAAUAAGGAAAAGCUUAGCUAAAAGGCAGGAAGGCACAAGAAAAAUCAUCAGAAGCCUGGACAAGCUCUUUUCUAAAUACAGUCAUGCAUCACUUAAUGACUGGGAUAUGUUCUGAGAAAUGUGUCAUGAGGUGAUUUUGUCAUUGUGUGAGCACCACAGUGUGUACUUACACAAACCUAGAUGGUAUAGCCUGCUACACACCUAGGCUAUUUGGUAUAGCCUACUGCUCCUAGGCUACAUACCUAUACAGCAGGUUAUUAUACUCAGUACUGUAGGCAAUUGUAAUAAUGGUAUUUGUGUAUCUUAACAUAUCUAAACAUAGAAAAGGUAAAAAUAUGGUAUAGAAUUUUUUUUUUUUAUGUUACACCUGUAUAGGGCACUUAGCCAUGAAUAGAGCUUUCAAGAUUAGAAAUUACUGUGAGUGGUGAGUGAAUGUGGAGGCCUAAUAUUACUGUAUACUCCUACAUACUUUAUAAACACUGUACACUUAGAUUACACUAAGUUUCUUAAAUUUUUUCUUCAAUGAUAAAUUACCUUAUUUUACUGUAAAAGCUUUUAAUUUUUUUAACUUUUACUCUUUUGUUAUGACACUUAGCUUAAAGCACACAUUGUAUAGCUGUAACAGUUAUUUCCUUUAUAGCCAUAUUCUAUAAACUUUUUUCUAUUUUAAAAAUGUUUAAUUUUUUAAAUCUUUGUUAUAAACUAAGGUACAAUUACACACAUUGGCCUAUGUCUAUAUAGAGUCAAGAUCAUUAAUAUCACUGUCUUCCACUCCACAUCUUGUCCUAUUGGAAGGUCUUUAGGGGCAAUAACAUGCAUGGAGCUGUCACCUUCUGGAGGACUUGCCUGAGGCUGUUUUACAGUUAACUUUUCUAAGUAGAAGGAAUGCACUCUAAAAUAAUGAUAAAAAGUAUUGUAUAGUAAGUGCAUAAACCGGUAAUACUUAUUAGCAAGUAUUAUGUACUGUACGUAAGUGUAUAACCUAGACUUUUUACAGCUCAGUAGGUUUGUUUACACCAGUAUAAUCACAGACAUAGUGAGUAAUGUGUUGUGCUACAAUGUUACAAUUGUUCUGUCACUAGGCAAUAGUAAUUUUUCUGCUCCAUUAUAAUCUUAAGGGACCACUGUGAUAUAUGAGGUCUAUCACUGACCAAAAUGUCAUUAUGUGGUGCAUGACUGUAUUUGAAACUCGGCCCAAAUUAAAAUCUCUUUGAAAAAACA